UUAGAAGAACCUUGAAAAUUGAGGAAAACAAUCAAAAAAGAACCGAGUUUAGACUUGUUCAUGCAAUAUAUAUAAAACACAUAUUGCAAGUCACAUAGAACAUCCAAUAAUUAAAGCAAACCACAAUUAUUUAGAUAACCAGACAGCAUAUAUACAAACUCAGCCACAUCAUUAGAAGAUAUAUUGGAUGGUUGAAUGCAUUCAACCUAUCAGCAAUUACAAGCUUGGCAGGGACACAUACAUAAGCAGUAUAUAUAAAGACAUGGACAAAUCUUAAAUUUGUUGAUGUCUGCUAGAGGGUUGAAAGUUUUACUUAUGGCAAUAACAUUACUAGCGGACUCGUUCGGGUUUGGAUGACUUAGGUGGGAGACUCUGAUUUUUUCUGGAGAUGCAUUCCCAGUUUCUGCCAUCUGCACAGGCACAGCAGCACCUAAGUUGGACCAAAUAGCAAAAAUCAGGAUAAGGGAUGCUAAGGUUAGGAGGGAUGAUUUGGCCAUGGUGAAAGUGAAGGUAGAAGGAAGUUGAGUUUUAGGGGUUGGAUUGAGAGGAAUUUAUAUUGGAUUUCAUGUGUGUGUUUCCAUGGAAAAUUAAUAGCAGAUCUGAUUCGACUUAAUUUAUGAUGUCAAA
rnacentral:lncRNA from 1 species